rnacentral:rRNA from 1 species
GACGAACGCUGGCGGCGUGCCUAAUACAUGCAAGUUGAGCGAUGAAGAUUGGUGCUUGCACCAAUUUGAAGAGCAGCGAACGGGUGAGUAACGCGUGGGGAAUCUGCCUUUGAGCGGGGGACAACAUUUGGAAACGAAUGCUAAUACCGCAUAACAACUUUAAACAUAAGUUUUAAGUUUGAAAGAUGCAAUUGCAUCACUCAAAGAUGAUCCCGCGUUGUAUUAGCUAGUUGGUGAGGUAAAGGCUCACCAAGGCGAUGAUACAUAGCCGACCUGAGAGGGUGAUCGGCCAAAUUGGGACUGAGACACGGCCCAAACUCCUACGGGAGGCAGCAGUAGGGAAGCUUCGGCAAUAGACGAAAGUCUGACCGAGCAACGCCGCGUGAGUGAAGAAGGUUUUCGGAUCGUAAAACUCUGUUGGUAGAGAAGAACGUUGGUGAGAGUGGAAAGCUCAUCAAGUGACGGUAACUACCCAGAAAGGGACGGCUAACUACGUG